GACGUAGGGCGCGAGCGUUGUCCGGAUUUAUUGGGCGUAAAGAGCUCGUAGGCGGUCUGUCGCGUCGAUCGUGAAAACUUGGGGCUUAACCCUGAGCUUGCGGUCGAUACGGGCAUGACUGGAGUUCGGCAGGGGGAGACUGGAAUUCCUGGUGUAGCGGUGAAAUGCGCAGAUAUCAGGAGGAACACCGGUGGCGAAGGCGGAUCUCUGGGCCAUUACUGACGCUGAGACACGAAAGCGUGGGUAGCAAACAGG
rnacentral:rRNA from 1 species